GCGGAGCCCCAUCCAGACCCUUUAGCUGCAGAGGAAGAACCACGCAUGUCAGCCUCGUUGAACAAGGAGUGUCAGAAGACAGAGGCCCUGUGGGACAUGAGCUGGCCAAAGAACCCGAGGAUGCCUGGAAUUUCAGACAGCCCCUGGCAUAGAAGACGAGACCUAAAGAAGCGGGCAGCUGCAAUGCAACGCUUGCAGCAAUGGGAGGCCCAGAUGCUUCUGGAAAUUGAAGAGGCAGUCCAUCAUGAGCUUACCAUCCAAGAUGGGACCCUUAGCAUGGAGUUUCCUGACCAAACCCAGGAGCCACUUAGCUUUGGCACAGUCAGUGUAGAAGCCCAGGACCCUGCUACCUUGGAAUAAUUUGAUCAUCUACACCACACACUACAGCUGGACCAGGAGGAGGCCAGUC